AUUAUCCACCAGGUAUAUUUCACUUGCGCGAGGAGCUCCAUUUGAUGAAACAGGGCGUCUGUUCAGCCACAAUGGACUUUGAUUGUUGAAUACUCAAAAACUUCUUGCAUUCAUCAGAGCCAGCUCCAAAAAAGAGAGAUAAAAAAUGUCUAUCUUGGAGGCACAGAGUUAUUUGAGAAUGUCUUUUUGGGAGCACCUAUUUGGUGAAAAAGGUUUGUGGUUUGUUUCUCCACUCUUAUAUACAGUUUAAUUCAUCCUCCAAAUAAUUCGUCAUGGCUCAUUUGUACACACUACCAUACUACUUUUAGUUUCUGAAAAAAUACUCUCUUGUUGUUUAAAUGCUUUAGUGAUCAUCUUAAUAUCAAUUACUGCUGAUAAGCUGCUGUGCAAAUAAUCAAUAACUUCACCUGUUAUGGUAAGUUCGCUGGUCCCAGAUAUUCCUAAAAUGCUAAAUCAUUUGUUUGGUUGAUGUAGAUUUUAGUUUUUGUUUAUUGUCCGUAUUGAUAAUAGUAAUAGAAUUGUUGAACUUUCUUCCAAAACUAAAUUAUUAUCUCUUCUGAAGUUCAAG